UACGUAGGGUGCAAGCGUUAAUCGGAAUUACUGGGCGUAAAGCGUGCGCAGGCGGUUAUGUAAGACAGAUGUGAAAUGCCCGGGCUUAACCUGGGAACUGCAUUUGUGACUGCAUGGCUAGAGUUUGGCAGAGGGGGGGUAGAAUUCCACGUGUAGCAGUGAAAUGCGUAGAUAUGUGGAGGAACACCGAUGGCGAAGGCGGUUGCCUGGGGCUUUGCUGAC
rnacentral:rRNA from 1 species